rnacentral:piRNA from 1 species
UCCUAUGCAAACAUUGGCUAGCUCUUGAUA